rnacentral:lncRNA from 1 species
AUGUACUUACAUGUGUAUGUAUUUUAUAUUUAUCUAGGGGUCUUUCAUAGAAUACAAGCUCCUCAAGGGCAGGAACUGUGUUAUUUUUGGUCUAUGUGCCCAUGUCUUAAUAAUAACGUACCUAUCUAUCGGAGAUACUGCAUCUUUAGGGGAAUCAAAUCCCAGAUGAUCCAUUGGUCCAGCAGAUCUGGAUGCUUCUCAUUUGCAGAGUUGCCAAUUCCCUUGGCCAUAUGUUCAGUUCUCAAAUUUAUGGCAGAAAAACCUGGAUCUGAUAAAGACCUCCUGGCCAUCAUCUGGUAAAGUGGAUUCUGUGAAAAGGAGGCCAGUCAUUCCAACCAACUACCAAAUAACUCUUUCAUAGAGGAGAUACAAGGCACCCUAAGGAAGAGACAGGAAGCUGCAUGUGCCAGACAAGCCAAACCGCCAUGACCACCAUAUUAGUCAUCAUCUCACUUCAGACUCUGAAAGAAGCAGCCCAAUACCUUAAAUUGAAAAGCCUUGAAAACAGUAGCAUCUUUCAAAGCACCAGAUUUGUUUUAAGGUCAGCCUCAAGAGCCAUCAUAAAGUGAGAUAUCAUUUUGGAGAAAGGGAACAACUUUCUCAUCAUCACAGUAAUUAAUACGACCAACUAUCACCAGAAAGAUAGGCACAGGAUCCUUGUGAAUGGUGUACAAUAUAUUUCAUCAGGGGAAAUCACAUUAAAGAAUAGAUAUUACCAUCUACCUUGCUGCUUCAUCUUAAGGCCCAAGGGACUUUUCCAUUUGAUUCGUAACUGAAACUUUCUGUAUAUGCUCUGUUGCCCCAUUAGAAUGGGAAUUCCUUGAAAACAAGGACUUGAUUUUCUAUUUGCAUUCCCAAUCCUUAGCAUAUGUUUGGCACAUUGUAAAUACUUAAAUAUUUUAUAACUUUAUUUCUUCCUUUCUUCCUUCCUUCCUAAAGUAUCUUAACUUACCUAGAUCACUCAUGUGCCAGACAGGUGAGAAAUACAAACACACAGGUGAAAAAAUUUAUACCCUGAAGGAAUUCGUAUUAGAAACUCUUAGGCUGAGGAGUGUAACCCAUUCACAGGUAAAUAAAUAUUGGAUUUAUACAAAAUCA